GUGCGUCGGCAGUGCAGAGUUUGAUCCUGGCUCAGGACGAACGCUGGCGGCGUGCUUAACACAUGCAAGUCGAGCGGUAAGGCCCUUCGGGGUACACGAGCGGCGAACGGGUGAGUAACACGUGAGCAACCUGCCCCCGACUCCGGGAUAAGCGGUGGAAACGCCGUCUAAUACCGGAUACGACCGGCCACCUCAUGGCGGCCGGUGGAAAGUUUUCUCGGUUGGGGAUGGGCUCGCGGCCUAUCAGCUAGUUGGUGGGGUAAAGGCCUACCAAGGCGAUUACGGGUAGCCGGCCUGAGAGGGCGACCGGCCACACUGGGACUGAGACACGGCCCAGACUCCUGCGGGAGGCAGCAGUGGGGAAUAUUGCGCAAUGGGCGAAAGCCUGACGCAGCGACGCCGCGUGGGGGAUGACGGCCUUCGGGUUGUAAACCUCUUUUACCACCAACGCAGGCUCCCAGUUCUCUGGGGGUUGACGGUAGGUGGGGAAUAAGGACCGGCUAACUACGUGCCAGCAGCCGCGGUAAUACGUAGGGUCCGAGCGUUGUCCGGAAUUAUUGGGCGUAAAGAGCUCGUAGGCGGCGUGUCGCGUCUGCUGUGAAAGACCGGGGCUUAACUCCGGUUCUGCAGUGGAUACGGGCAUGCUAGAGGUAGGUAGGGGAGACUGGAAUUCCUGGUGUAGCGGUGAAAUGCGCAGAUAUCAGGAGGAACACCGGUGGGGAAGGCGGGUCUCUGGGCCUUACCUGACGCUGAGGAGCGAAAGCAUGGGGAGCGAGCAGGAUUAGAUACCCUGGUAGUCCAUGCCGUAAACGUUGGGCGCUUGGUGUGGGGACUUUCCACGGUUUCCGCGCCGUAGCUAACGCAUUAAGCGCCCCGCCUGGGGAGUACGGCCGCAAGGCUAAAACUCAAAGGAAUUGACGGGGGCCCGCACAAGCGGCGGAGCAUGUUGCUUAAUUCGACGCAACGCGAAGA
rnacentral:rRNA from 1 species